rnacentral:rRNA from 1 species
UCAAACCAAAGCUGGCGACCGGCGCACGGGUGAGUAACACGUAUCCAACCUGCCUCAUACUCGGGGAUAGCCUUUCGAAAGAAAGAUUAAUAUCCGAUAGCAUAUAUUUCCCGCAUGGGUUUUAUAUUAAAGAAAUUCGGUAUGAGAUGGGGAUGCGUUCCAUUAGUUUGUUGGGGGGUAACGGCCCACCAAGACUACGAUGGAUAGGGGUUCUGAGAGGAAGGUCCCCCACAUUGGAACUGGGACACGGUCCAA